AGCGAACGCUGGCGGCAGGCCUAACACAUGCAAGUCGAACGAAGUCUUCGGACUUAGUGGCGGACGGGUGAGUAACACGUGGGAACGUGCCUUUAGGUUCGGAAUAACUCAGGGAAACUUGUGCUAAUACCGAAUGUGCCCUUAGGGGGAAAGAUUUAUCGCCUUUAGAGCGGCCGCGUCUGAUUAGCUAGUUGGUGGGGUAAUGGCCCACCAAGGCUACGAUCAGUAGCUGGUCUGAGAGGAUGACCAGCCACAUUGGGACUGAGACACGGCCCAAACUCCUACGGGAGGCAGCAGUGGGGAAUCUUGCGCAAUGGGCGAAAGCCUGACGCAGCCAUGCCGCGUGGAUGAUGAAGGUCUUAGGAUUGCAAAAUCCUUUCACCGGUGAAGAUAAUGACUGUAGCCGGAGAAGAAGCCCCGGCUAACUUCGUGCCAGCAGCCGCAGUAACAC
rnacentral:rRNA from 1 species